CGUAACAGGGGGAUAACCCGGAGAAAUCCGGACUAAUACCCCAUAAUAUGGGCGCUCCGCAUGGAGAGCCCAUUAAAGAGAGCAAUUUUGGUUACAGACGAGCAUGCGCUCCAUUAGCCAGUUGGCGGGGUAACGGCCCACCAAAGCGACGAUGGAUAGGGGUUCUGAGAGGAAGGUCCCCCACAUUGGAACUGAGACACGGUCCAA
rnacentral:rRNA from 1 species